rnacentral:rRNA from 1 species
UGCAAGUCGAACGGCAGCAUGAUCUAGCUUGCUAGAUUGAUGGCGAGUGGCGAACGGGUGAGUAAUACAUCGGAACGUGCCCUGUAGUGGGGGAUAACUAGUCGAAAGAUUAGCUAAUACCGCAUACGACCUGAGGGUGAAAGUGGGGGACCGCAAGGCCUCAUGCUAUAGGAGCGGCCGAUGUCUGAUUAGCUAGUUGGUGAGGUAAAGGCUCACCAAGGCGACGAUCAGUAGCUGGUCUGAGAGGACGAUCAGCCACACUGGGACUGAGACACGGCCCAGACUCCUACGGGAGGCAGCAGUGGGGAAUUUUGGACAAUGGGCGAAAGCCUGAUCCAGCAAUGCCGCGUGUGUGAAGAAGGCCUUCGGGUUGUAAAGCACUUUUGUCCGGAAAGAAAUGGCUCUGGUUAAUACCUGGGGUCGAUGACGGUACCGGAAGAAUAAGGACCGGCUAACUACGUGCCAGCAGCCGCGGUAAUACGUAGGGUCCAAGCGUUAAUCGGAAUUACUGGGCGUAAAGCGUGCGCAGGCGGUUGUGCAAGACCGAUGUGAAAUCCCCGAGCUUAACUUGGGAAUUGCAUUGGUGACUGCACGGCUAGAGUGUGUCAGAGGGGGGUAGAAUUCCACGUGUAGCAGUGAAAUGCGUAGAGAUGUG